GGAAAAACAAGUGCAACUUCAUGGUCCUUUUCUUCAUAUUCUGGAAUACAAGAAUACGUGUAAAUGUUUGCAAAUUCAGGUACAUUUUCAACUGGAACGUAACAUGUAGAGCAGUAGAACAUUCUGGAACCACCACAUUUGAGACAUUUUGAUCUCCCACUUUGCUGAGCUUUUUGAAGAACUUCUUGAGAUGCUAAACAUGAGUUUUGAAGGGGAUCUUCUGAAGCUAUGGAAGUAGUUUGUGACUGUUUUGUUUCCACAAAGUUUGAAUUAUUUUCUUCACUUCGUUUGAGAAAUAUAGGUGGAUUGAGAGACAUUCUUCAUUCAAACAAAAGUUUAACAGCUAUUUCUAAAACACAUAUCAUAUGUGCACUG